CCUACGGGAGGCAGCAGUGGGGAAUAUUGCACAAUGGGGGAAACCCUGAUGCAGCGACGCCGCGUGAGUGAAGAAGUAAUUCGUUAUGUAAAGCUCUAUCAGCAGGGAAGAAAAUGACGGUAACUGAGUAAGAAGCCCCGGCUAACUACGUGCCAGCAGCCGCGGUAAUACGUAGGGGGCAAGCGUUAUCCGGAUUUACUGGGUGGAAAGGGAGCGUAGACGGCAGUGCAAGUCUGGAGUGAAAGGCGGGGGCUCAACCCCCGGACUGCUCUGGAAACUGUACGGCUGGAGUGCAGGAGAGGUAAGUGGAAUUCCUAGUGUAGCGGUGAAAUGCGUAGAUAUUAGGAGGAACACCAGUGGCGGAGGCGGCUUACUGGACUGUAACUGACGUUGAGGCUCGAAAGCGUGGGGAGCAAACAGGAUUAGAUACCCGAGUAGUC
rnacentral:rRNA from 1 species